AGAUUGAACGCUGGCGGCAUGCUUUACACAUGCAAGUCGAACGGCAGCACGGGGGCAACCUUGGUGGCGAGUGGCGAACGGGUGAGUAAUGCAUCGGAACGUAUCCUUAAGUGGGGGAUAACGCAUCGAAAGAUGCGCUAAUACCGCAUAAUCUUUGAGGAGAAAAGCAGGGGAUCGCAAGACCUUGCGCUUUUGGAGCGGCCGAUGUCUGAUUAGCUAGUUGGUGAGGUAAAGGCUUACCAAGGCUUCGAUCAGUAGCUAGGUCUGGAGAGGACGACCAGCCACACUGGGGACUGAGACACGGCCCAGACUCCUACGGGAGGCAGCAGGUGGGGAAUUUUGGACAAGUGGGGGAAACCCUGAUCCGAGACCAUGCCGCGUAGAGUAGAAGGAACGGCCGUUCGGGUUAGUAAACGUACGUACCGUUUCG
rnacentral:rRNA from 1 species